rnacentral:rRNA from 1 species
AACGCUGGCGGCGUGCCUAAUACAUGCAAGUCGAGCGAAUGGAUUAAGAGCUUGCUCUUAUGAAGUUAGCGGCGGACGGGGUGAGUAACACGUGGGUAACCUACCCAUAAGACUGGGAUAACUCCGGGAAACCGGGGCUAAUACCGGAUAAUAUUUUGAACUGCAUAGUUCGAAAUUGAAAGGCGGCUUCGGCUGUCACUUAUGGAUGGACCCGCGUCGCAUUAGCUAGUUGGUGAGGUAACGGCUCACCAAGGCGACGAUGCGUAGCCGACCUGAGANGGUGAUCGGCCACACUGGGACUGAGACACGGCCCAGACUCCUACGGGAGGCAGCAGUAGGGAAUCUUCCGCAAUGGACGAAAGUCUGACGGAGCAACGCCGCGUGAGUGAUGAAGGCUUUCGGGUCGUAAAACUCUGUUGUUAGGGAAGAACAAGUGCUAGUUGAAUAAGCUGGCACCUUGACGGUACCUAACCAGAAAGCCACGGCUAACUACGUGCCAGCAGCCGCGGUAAUACGUAGGUGGCAAGCGUUAUCCGGAAUUAUUU